GAAAUGCGAUAAGUAAUGUGAAUUGCAGAAUUCAGUGAAUCAUCGAAUCUUUGAACGCACCUUGCGCUCCCUGGUAUUCCGGGGAGCAUGCCUGUUUGAGUGUCAUGAAUCUCUCAACCUAUUAGAUUGCAAAAUCGAAGUAGUGUUGGACUUGGAGGCUUGCUGGCCUAGUCAGCUCCUCUCAAAUGCAUUAGCUAUGGAUCGCGCGGCAAUUAGAUCUACGGUGUGAUACAUGUCUUACCUAUGGAUCGAAAGCUAUAAUCACCGCUUCGGCAGUGUAUACUUUAUUGUGUACCGUGUGAUGAGUGAAUACAAAGCUUCUAAUCGUCUGUAACGGACAACUCUUUUGACAUCUGACCUCAAAUCAGGUAGGACUACCCGCUGAACUUAA
rnacentral:misc_RNA from 1 species